GGUGCGUAGGCGGGUAUUUAAGUCAGUGGUGAAAUCCUAGAGCUUAACUCUAGAACUGCCAUUGAUACUGUUUAUCUUGAAUAUUGUGGAGGUAAGCGGAAUAUGUCAUGUAGCGGUGAAAUGCUUAGAUAUGACAUAGAACACCUAUGGCGAAGGCAGCUUACUGCGCUGAUAUUGACGCUGAGGCACGAAAGCGUGGGGAUCAAACAGGAUUAGAUACCCUGGUAGUCCACGCCCUAAACGAUGGAUACUCGUUGUACGCGAUACACUGUGUGUGUCUGAGCGAAAGCAUUAAGUAUCCCACCUGGGAAGUACGACCGCACGGUU
rnacentral:rRNA from 1 species